GGCCUCCUGGUGCUUACACAGGCUGUGUUUUUACACUGAAUGUAUAGAAAGAAGAGGCAGAGGAAACCUGUCCCAUAACACCCCAGCCCAGGCCACUGUGCUUGGUCUGUAUUAUGAAUGGGGAGGCAUGG
rnacentral:snoRNA from 1 species